rnacentral:lncRNA from 1 species
GUUUAAAUGGAUUUUGCCAAGAGAUGAGAACUGAAGAUUUAAGGAGGUAAAAAUCAAAAAAAGGGCUAUGCAAUGUGGUGUUUUUUUAGUGCUUACUGAUCUGAUAUUCAGGAUGGGAAGGAGAUCAAAGGAAUAAAGGCUAAAAUAUUAUGAUGGUCUGAAUGACUAGUGCCAUUCAAGAAUGUGGACUUCAUUCCAUAGUCUUACUCUGAAGAAAAAAGAGCUACAAAGAAUAAUGACCCAUGACUUCUGGAGAGGAACACGGUUGUUUCAUGUUUGCUUGCAUUAUUCAGAAACAUUUUGCAUCUUCUCUUCCUAA